rnacentral:rRNA from 1 species
AAGCCGGGUUACGGUGCCCAACUGCGCGCUAACCUAGAACCCACAAAGGGUGUUGGUCGAUUAAGACAGCAGGACGGUGGUCAUGGAAGUCGAAAUCCGCUAAGGAGUGUGUAACAACUCACCUGCCGAAUCAACUAGCCCCGAAAAUGGAUGGCACUGAAGCGCGCGACCCACACCCGGCCAUCUGGGCGAGCGCCAUGCCCCGAUG